CAUAUCAAUAAGCGGAGGAAAAGAAACCAACAGGGAUUGCCCCAGUAACGGCGAGUGAAGCGGCAACAGCUCAAAUUUGAAAUCUGGCCUUGGCCCGAGUUGUAAUUUGUAGAGGAUGCUUUUGGCGCGGUGCCUUCCGAGUUCCCUGGAACGGGACGCCAUAGAGGGUGAGAGCCCCGUCUGGUUGGAAACCUAGCCUCUGUAAAGCUCCUUCGACGAGUCGAGUAGUUUGGGAAUGCUGCUCUAAAUGGGAGGUAUAUGUCUUCUAAAGCUAAAUAUUGGCCAGAGACCGAUAGCGCACAAGUAGAGUGAUCGAAAGAUGAAAAGCACUUUGAAAAGAGGGUUAAAUAGUACGUGAAAUUGUUGAAAGGGAAGCGUUUGUGACCAGACUUGGGCUUGGUUGAUCAUCCGGCGUUCUCGCCGGUGCACUCUGCCUGUCCAGGCCAGCAUCAGUUCGUCUUGGGGGAUAAAGGCGGUGGGAACGUAGCUCCUCCGGGAGUGUUAUAGCCCGCCGUGCAAUACCCUG
rnacentral:rRNA from 1 species